rnacentral:sRNA from 2 species
AUUAAUAAAUAAAUGAAUGAUGGAUGAUAACCAUAGCUACGCAUGUGUGUGUGGAAUGAAUGCUGGAGGGAUGAUGGUAUGACAUGUAUGAUGUACAUGACAUGAUAUGUGAGGAAUUUUCUUUCCAUAUCUUGGAUAACAAACGUUUAUUCCAUUUCUCUCAGCCGACUUCCAACUUCUACUCCUCCCUCCCUUAUCUCCAUAUUCAUCCAUAAUCGAACAGAUCUCUUGAAAGUUUGCACCUAACAUACACCAAACACAUUCCACACACCACGGGGAUGUUGUACAUGUCCAACGCAAUUACGGGGCCAGAAUAACCGGAAAAGGGUAAGUAGACAAAUUAUUGAUCAAGCCAUAAGGAAAUAUGUGGGAAAAGCAGAAGAAGAAGAAGAAGAAGAAGAAGAAGAAUAAACACAACAUCAUUUCCUAUAUGCGUUUUUUGUUGUGUCUUGGUUGAGUCCUUUUUUCCUUCAAUUAUUUCUUCACAUUCAAAUAUCUCUCCCCCCUUCCCAUUCUUUCAUUCCCCAUCAAAUGCCCGUAACAGAAAGAUCAUAUACUGAGCACCCUAGUAAAACAGAACAAAGGAGAGGGUACUCAACAUAUACUUUAAAAAAGUAAAACAAAAAAAAUAUCAGAGUUAAAAACAUACUAUGGUAAUAAAGGCUAAAAGGCGAGAGAAACGUAAUAAACAAAAUAAACCAGAAAAAAAAGACUUUGCAAAACUGGCCUACAGAAAACAACAACAAAAAGGGAGGAAAAAGACAUAUGAGCGCCGUAUCAUAAAAGAAAUGGAAUAGAAACUAAAAGAGGAUAAAAAAACAAACCCAUGAAAAUGGAGGUCAGGUCUGUUGUAUCAACGAGGUCAUGGUGUAUGGCUAUUCGCAUUCAAAUCCAGCUCCCCCGGAUCGGGUAGGCCCUAGAGCAGGAAACAACACAAUUCAUCAACGGCCGGAAUCAAAGCUCAGAGCCAGAGUCAAGAAAAUGAGAUAAAAGGGAAACAAAAUUUAUACCGAGACGUUAAAACAUCAGCGUAGUGCCAUUUCAUAAAUAUGCAAGAGGGCGUUCGUCAACGAAGAACCGGAAAGUCGUGUUCAUAUUUUCGUUGUCCUCGUGAGGGGUUCUCAUGUUUCCGUUAGUAAAAUACAAUCGGAGUGGCAGUUCAGAAGGGUCGUCCCAACAUGUGCCGUGAGUAUAUUUCGUCUGUAAAGGGAGGGAAAACGCAUAUUGGUCUUCCCAUAGAUAAAGUAGAAGUUGGUGUUGUUGGG